rnacentral:lncRNA from 9 species
AUUGCUGACACGAGCAGUUCCAACCAGGAAAGCAGAGCUGCUUCCCACGGACAGAUUUUGGGGGUGGGUAGCAGGGACCCUCCUGACGGCUUGCUUCUGGGAUGUAGGAUGCAUUACGGAAAUCAUGAGCCUGUGUCCAGGCGUGGUCUCCUUUUCAUAGACCUGGGUACUGUGGCAACAUCCACCCCCCCCCCGCCCCCGCCGCAAGGCUGCCUUUUGGCUGCUGGCUGUGCCAUGGAAUGGAGCAUAUGUAUUUCUGCAUAUUUCCACUUUUGUGGUUUCAGUUCCAGGCUUUCAAAUUUUUUUUUCUUUUUUUCAGGAGAGAUCAGAGACAUACAGACUGUACUUCCUUCUGCGACACAGAAUUCGCACCUACUUGCUGAAUGGAAAACUUCCGUACAGACAGAAUAAGAUCAACAAACCGUAGGAGAAACAGAUGAAUUAUACCGUCAGAAACAAGUGAUGGCAGAAACAAAAAGCCGUGGACUCAAUUCCACGAUACAGCAGCUGCAGGCUUUCUAAUACUGGAGGAGUAGCAUAAAUUUGAUCCUUUAAAGCCACUUAAUCCCCCUCAACUGCAAUCCCAAUUCCUGCUUUGCUGUUUUGUUGUGUUUUAUCAUUCCAUUGUCCUAAAUUGCUUCAGGGAACUAGAAUGUAGCCUGGAUGCUUCAUCCAAUGCAGCUAUAUUCAUCUUCUGAUGACCUUCUCAAUAAAUAAACAUUUUCGUUUUGGAUAAGGGUUCCAGACCACAAUUAUACCUCCCAGCAAGGGCUGUCAUACAAAUUAAUGUCAUCACUAUUUGCUUAAGUUUUAAUUGAGGUAACACUGGUUUAUAACAUUAAAUAAAUUUCAUGUGCACAGCAUGUUUCUGCUUCUGUGUACACGUCAGCCUGCUCACCACUAAAAAUUUAAUUUCUACCAGUCACAAUAUAUCUGGUCCCUCUUGCCCCCUCCCCUCUCAUAACCACUAAGAGGUUCUCUGAAUCUACACGUUUGUUUUUGUUCAGUUUGUUUGUUCCUUUACUUUGGCUUUUUUGGGGGAGGGGUUGCUUCUUUAUUCGUUUUUUAUAUUCUGCAUACGAGUGAAAUUAUGUGGCAUUUUUUUUCUUCGUCUGAUUUAUCUCACUCAGUAUAAUGCUCUCAAGGUUCAGGCAUGUUGAAAAUGGCAAGAUUGCAUUCUUUUUCAUGGCUGAGUAAUAUUCCGCAGCAUAUUGUUAUAUAUACACCACAUCUUUAGCCACUUAUCUUUUGCUGGACAUUUAGUUUUCUUCUGCAUCUUGGUUACUGUAAACAGUGCUGCUGCUGUGAAUAUUAGGGGGCACAGAUUUUUUUUCGAAUUGCUGUUUUUCCCUUUGGAUAAAUAGCCAGAAGUGGAAUGGCUGAAUCCAAUGGUAGUUCUAUUUUGAAUUAACUUAACAGUCUCCAUACUGUUUUCCACAGUGGCUGCACCAAUUUACAUUCCCACCAACAAUGCACAAGGGCUCCUUUUCUUCCACAUCCUCACCAACACCUGUUAUUUAUUGCCUUUUCGAGUCACCACAAUUUCAAACAUCAAUGGCUUGGGAUGUCGCAUCCUUAGAGGGAAAUUUAGG